rnacentral:rRNA from 1 species
GAUGAACGCUGGCGGCGUGCCUAAUACAUGCAAGUCGAGCGAACAGACGAGGAGCUUGCUCCUCUGACGUUAGCGGCGGACGGGUGAGUAACACGUGGAUAACCUACCUAUAAGACUGGGAUAACUUCGGGAAACCGGAGCUAAUACCGGAUAAUAUAUUGAACCGCAUGGUUCAAUAGUGAAAGACGGUUUUGCUGUCACUUAUAGAUGGAUCCGCGCCGCAUUAGCUAGUUGGUAAGGUAACGGCUUACCAAGGCAACGAUGCGUAGCCGACCUGAGAGAGUGAUCGGCCACACUGGAACUGAGACACGGUCCAGACUCCUGCGGGAGGCAGCAGUAGGGAAUCUUCCGCAAUGGGCGAAAGCCUGACGGAGCAACGCCGCGUGAGUGAUGAAGGUCUUCGGAUCGUAAAACUCUGUUAUUAGGGAAGAACAAAUGUGUAAGUAACUGUGCACGUCUUGACGGUACCUAAUCAGAAAGCCACGGCUAACUACGUG